CCACCACUGCCACCACCCGCCGCACGACCACCACCCGCCGCACGACCACCAGGCGUCCAACAACCACAGUCCGAACCACUACGCGGACAACCACCACCACCACCCCCACACCCACCACUCCCAUCCCCACCUGUCCCCCUGGGACCUUGGAACGGCACGACGAUGAUGGCAACCUGAUAAUGAGCUCCAAUGGGAUCCCAGAGUGCUACGCUGAAGAAGGUAACUGCCUUUGUUCUAAUGCUAACUACUUACCAGGCACACUAGCACGCCGCAACUCAGAGCAGGGUGGCAGAGCCUGCAGGGGAGGUAUGAGCACCGUGCACAGCAAAGCAGCAACCCGAUGCAUUUUUGGUCCCAGCAGGUUUGUUUGACAGUACCAUGCCACAGCUAAGGUUGGAAGACUUAGCAAAUAAAAAUAUUACAUGGGACAUAUUUAUAUGAAAAAAAUUAUUUCCUGUUCACUUAAAGUCAGAUUUAACUGGGCAUCUUUUGUUUACUUGGUGAUGCUUAUCACAACCCAAGUCAAGAAUUUAGCUGAAACUUGUGACAUUAUUUGUUUGGACUAGCAUUUCCCAAAGUGUGUUCCAAUGGAUAUUGUAGAUUAGUGGUUGUAAUAUAUAUGUAUAUACUUAAAAGGUUCUGUGAUUAGCUAUGUGAUUUAAACAAGGUUGGAUAAGUUUCUUACUGUUGUAAUACUUAGAUCACUGAAUAGUCUUGUUGAGAAUCUCCAAGAAAAGGAAUGUUUCCCUAGCAUGUUCGGCAGCUGAGCACUUUUUUGAUCAGCCCUCCUUUGGAGAAUGCCAAUCCUCAUGUAGCUGGGCUUCCUGUGGGAGUGUGGGCUUUCCACUGGGUAAGAAUGCACCAUUUUCCCUUCUCUGCUGAUCUGCACUAUCCUGCCGCCCCUGAUGUAAGUCUGUCUUCCUUCUGAAAAUGGCUUGUUCUCCCUGAAGAGCAGGAGCUAGGAGACCUUUAUCCAGGUCAUCGUGGAGCCCGUAUAUCAAUAUAUCUCCAUCUUUUCUGCUCAGUCCCCUGCUCAAGCUGCUUUGGAAGAAGUCAUUCUAGAUUUGCAUCAGGCAUGGAGGAGAGAGAUUCAUCUUCUUUCCCUCAGUUUGAAAUGAAUUGCAAUGUCAAUUAUAAAGCUUAAGUCUUUUUAAACCAAGGCAGAGUGAAGAUGUUUCCUUUCAGGAAUCAAGCUGGAAUUCUUAUGCAACGUUAUUGACUAUGAUAAGCCCAAUCAGUUUGAACAUGAAUACUGUAUCCAAAAUGGGAAUUCUGUUGGAAGUUAGUCUUUCCGUGAAAAAGUUACAAAUAAACAGGAAAACUUGACACAUCUAAAAAAUUCACACCAAAAAAACAUGGAAACACGUACAGAGGGAGAGGAACAAUGGGAAGAAAAUUUCUACUCUGUCCAUUGACCCAGUUCUGUAUCUACAGCAAAUCUGAUAAUAGAUGAUAUAUAUGGAAUGUGAUGAGCCAAAUGAACAUCUUCAAGAAUUUGUAGCAUGACCUUGUUAAAAGUUGCAGAAAAACAUCAGUCAUUAUGGAAAACAGAUCUUCCCCACC
rnacentral:lncRNA from 1 species